UACUUGUACACUUUUACUACUGGAUAACCGUAGUAAUUCUAGAGCUAAUACAUAUGAAAAAAAGCCCUUGAUUUAUUUCAGAGGCUGCAUUUAUUAGACUCAAAACCAAAUCGCUUUCUCCAAAACUUUGUUUUGGAGAGAAAAAACGAAUGGUGAUUCAUAAUAACUAAGCUAAUCGAAAUUAAAUAAGAAAAUAAUAGAUGCCUUCGGGUUGUUUAUUGUUUUCUUUUUCGAUGCUUCAUUCAAAUUUCUGCCCUAUCAGCUUUCGAUGGUAGGAUAUUGGCCUACCAUGGCUAUAACGGGUAACGGGGAAUCAGGGUUCGAUUCCGGAGAGGGAGCUUGAGAAAUGGCUACCACAUCCAAGGAUGGCAGCAGGCGCGCAAAUUACCCAAUCCCAAUACGGGGAGGUAGUGACAAUAAAUAACAAUGUUGGAAUAUUUUAAAAAUUCUAACAAUUGGAAUGAGAGUAAUUUAGACCUCUUCUCGAGGAUCCAUUGGAGGGCAAGUCUGGUGCCAGCAGCCGCGGUAAUACCAGCUCCAAUAGCGUAUGUUAAAGUUGUUGCAGUUAAAAAGCUCGUAGUCUAAACUGCAAAGUUUUUAUGGAAAUGGUGUUUUUCUUUUUCCAAAGAGUUUUCCUUUGAAAAAAUUGAUUUUUUUUCAAAAGUCUUUAACGAUUUGGAUCUAAGUUAAGCAUCCCAACUUUGCUUGUACUUUGGAGAACAAAUGCUAAAUUUCCUUUCGAGGGAAUUCAACAUUUGGAUUCCAAUUGUUUACUUUGAGAAAACUAGAGUGUUCAAAGCAGGCGAAAUUAAAAUUUCUCUCGCAACUGAAUACAUUAGCAUGGGAUAAUAAAAUAGGACAUUAUAGAGAGAAAGUCUUUUCAUUUUAAGAGUUAAAUUUCAAAUUUAUUUGAUUUUUAAUUUUCUUAAUUUGAAAGUUUCUCUUUUUGGUCCUAUUAUGUUUUUGAUUAGUGGUCCAAGGACCAAUGUAAUGAUUAAUAGGAACGGUUGGGGACAUUCAUAUUGCGUGGCUAGAGGUGAAAUUCUUGGAUUCACGCAAGAUGAACUGCUGCGAAAGCGUUUGUCAAAGACGUUUUCAUUGAUCAAGAACGAAAGUUAGGGGAGCAAAGACGAUCAGAUACCGUCGUAGUCCUAACUAUAAACGAUGCCGACUAGGGAUCGGGUGGGGCGUUAAUAUAAAAUUGGAUUACCGUUUGUUUUAAUUUACUAACAACUUAAAACUGUUUUCCAAGAAAUGACCCCAUCGGCACCUCAAUUUGAUACUUCUCAAUGGGAAACCAAAGUUUUUGGGUUCCGGGGGGAGUAUGGUCGCAAGGCUGAAACUUAAAGGAAUUGACGGAAGGGCACCACCAGGAAGUGGAGUUUGCGGCUUAAUUUGACUCAACACGGGAAAACUCACCAGGCCCAGACAUGGUAAGGAUUGACAGAUUGAGAGCUCUUUCUUGAUUCCAUGAAAGGUGGCGCAUGGCCGUUCUUAGUUGGUGGAGUGAUUUGUCUGGUUAAUUCCGUUAACGAACGAGACCUUGGCCUGCUAACUAGGGGGGGUUAUCGUUUGGAGAAAAUUAAAUAGAGUUAUUAAUUUAGUUAUUAGCUUUCGGGUUAUUAGCUAAUUGAUGACUGUUAUUUGCUCAUUCAUAUUUUGCGAUAGCACCUAAGAUUUUUAAAAUCUUUCAACUUUUUCUUUGGGGAUAAGGAAAGGGAAAUUGAAGCAAAUAGAGUUGGAGACUCCGGCUUUCAUCUUUAUUCUUCUUUUUCAUUAAACCUUUGUUUGUUCUUAUGAAGGAGGAAAUCCUUCUUAGAGGGACUAUCUGCGUUUUUUUAACUAGCAGAUGGAAGCUCGAGGCAAUAACAGGUCUGUGAUGCCCUUAGAUGUCCUGGGCUGCACGCGUACUACACUGACGAAUUCAACAAGCGAUUUAAAUUUGACUUUGAGGAUAAGGUAAGGUUACUUGUAACUUUGCUUUGUUUUCUUGGUUAAAAACCUUGGCAGAAAUGUCUGGGUAAUCUCUUUAAAGUUCGUCGUGCUAGGGAUAGAUGAUUGUAAUUAUUCGUCUUG
rnacentral:rRNA from 1 species